GAUGAACGCUGGCGGCGUGCCUAAUACAUGCAAGUCGAGCGAACAGACGAGGAGCUUGCUCCUCUGACGUUAGCGGCGGACGGGUGAGUAACAUGUGGAUAACCUACCUAUAAGACUGGGAUAACUUCGGGAAACCGGCGCUAAUACCGGAUAAUAUAUUGAACCGCAUGGUUCAAUAGUGAAAGACGGUUUUGCUGUCACUUAUAGAUGGAUCCGCGCCGCAUUAGCUAGUGGGUAAGCAAACGGCUUACCAAGGCUACGAUGCGUAGCCGACCUGAGAGAGUGAUCGGCCCCACUGGAACUGAGACACGGUCCAGACUCCUACGGGAGGCAGCAGUAGGGAAUCGUCCGCAAUAGGCGAAAGCCUGACGGAGCAACGCCGCGUGAGUGAUGAAGAUCUUCGGUUCGUAAAACUCUGUUAUUAGGGAAGAACAAAUGUGUAAGUAAAUAUGCACGUCUUGACGGUACCUAAUCAAAAAGCCACGGCUAACUACGUG
rnacentral:rRNA from 1 species